UUGAAUUUAGCUUAAAAGUCUAAAAGGGAAAUCCUGCCUUUUCAAGGAAGAUCCAAUUCACAUUGCAAAUUUUUAUCCCAUUUGCAAUGUCCUUGCCAGUGGAACUGUGAAUCCACUCCAGGUUUAGUUGGGUUUUUAACAGAGCUAAAGUACUGAACUUAUUUGGGGAAUAGGGUUUAGUACCUUAGAUGACUUUUUUAAAAAGUGGAGUGGAUUCACAAUCCAGAUGCCAUUACCCUCUGUGUGCCUUUUGUUUUAUGGGGCCCUGGAAUCUGAGAACUUACAGCAUCCAUCUUUAUAUAGGGAUUUAAAGUAAAUCAAUCAGAUUGCAUGGUAGUAACUAAUGUCUCCAAGGAGCACCUCUUGUGCCAAGGAGAAGAGGCUCCUCAUAAUCCAGGUAGGACUUCUUGAGGAAACAGAGUUUUAGUGAAUCAAGGUUGACCAAGAAUAUUAGAAAGUAUCUCAUAUCUCCUGUCAAGAAGAUGAUCCAAAUAUGAUUGGAUUAUCAUCCCCAUCCCUGACCAAUGUAUAACAAAGCAUGCAGUUACAUGAGUCAUGGAUGGGAUGUUACAAAGCAGAACACUUUUGCUCUCCUAGGAGACUCAAAUUACAUUAUGAAUGUUGACGAAGAGCAUCUCAUUAAUUCUCUGGCCUUUGUAGUCCAUCAAGAGUGAUGCCCUUUACAAGAAAUUAAUUCACACUACUUUGCAAGUAACAUGUUGCAAGCAAUUUACUUUCCCAUUAUUAUAUUGUUUUUUAAGAAACCGAUAUCCUUUAAUAGAAAAAAUGGGCUUCAAUUUAUCCAAAUGACACCAAAUACAGGUUUUUUAAAGUUACAAAUAAAUGCUGCAUGUUGCACCAAAAAGGCAAUGACAUUAUGAGUCACACUGCAAGUACUGUUAUAUCUUUGCUAUCCCUAAAAGCAACCCAUUUUGGGUAAUAUAAUUACUCAUAAGACAUUGUUUCAAAACUUUGGUAAUAUGUUACCAAAACAGUUGUAACAUGAGAAAAGGGAACUGGAAAGACUUGUCAUCUUUCAUGCCCAGUUACAUUUCUGUGGCCUAUGGAUUUGAGGUGAAGAUGUAGGAACAGAAUUUCUACUGACUUGUAAUAGAGUAUAUUCAUUCCCUCUUUUUAUCUCUUGAUAUGCUGCAGUAUUCUUUACAGAUGUGAAUAAUCCAUACCGAGAAGCUAGUUUUUCAUAGUUGAUUUUCUGUCUUGUGGUCUGUUGAGAAUUUCCAAAGAGACACACUUGCCAAGACCCUACCAUAAAAUCAUGGCACCUCUGCAUAGCUUGUCUUCUCACCAGAGCAACUCUGAGGAUUUUUUUUUAAAGCAAGUAAUUAUUUGUAUUUAUGAGCUGAAUUCUAAUGCUGGGUAAGUACUCCAUCCUUAUAGAGCAAACAUGUUAUUUUUUUUGGUGCCUGGAGGAUGCUUGGACACGUUUCUAGGUGAAAUGAAGGUGGUGGAUAUGCCUAUGAAUACUCUGAAUGAAGGGAUUUGGAGGAGUUGUGAGGAGCUUUGCAGAUCCCAAAUAAGUGCUUUCAUAUUUACUAAGCACUUCCCACUAGAAUUGUAUAUUUCCUGGUUCCUUUGGGGCCAGCAAGAUCAGGAUAAUCCUGUACUAAACUACUUUUUUCUAUAAGAUGUAAGGCUUGUUGCUUUGUGAGCUUCUUUAUCCAGUUACUGCAAAAGCUAGAAACAGAGGUCAUGGGGCUUCUCACAGGGAGGUGUUUGGAUAUUGCUCUUUCAAUCAUCCAGGCAUUUCCCCUGUAACAGGAGAAGUGAAUUUUUGGAUGGAGGACACACUGUGAAGAGGUGCUGAGAAAACAAUGCGGGAAUCUUGUUUCAUGUGUAUGUGUUUCAUCCAGAGGCCACUGUAAUAUUUGGGAACUAUUUUUCUACCUAUGGCAAGAUCAGGACACCAACUGCCUUUCCUUAAAUCACUCAUAUGAUGUCAGAAACAUCAACCUGUUGUUGUUACUGCUAUCACUAGAGAACAUUUUAUGACAAGGAUUCUCCAUUAGCAACUUUGCCCAAAAGGGGACCUUUGGAACAGCCACUUUUAGGAGACCUUUCAGCUUGCUUACACACAUAAUGCUUUUUUUCAGGAUUCCUGACAAGGAUUCAGAAACCAUAAUAAACAACAUUUUUGAGGUUUCUAGGAUAGUGCUGAUAUGAGAGAUCUUUAAAAGGUGAAGAUCUAGUGCCAUAGUAAGGUUACAUAGAUGGAUCAUAUACUCAUUAUUCAUUUAUUGUUGUUGUGUGCCUUCAGGUUGCUUCUGAUGGUGACCUUAAGGCAAACCCCAGGCAAUAUUUGUUCAUAGAGGGGUUGCCUUUUCCUUCCUCUCAGGUUUAGAGAGUGUGACUUGCUCAGGGUCACCCAGUGGGAUUUGAAUCCUAGUCUCCACAGUUGAUUCCAACACUCAGACUACUACACACUGACUUUCUGUCUCCUUAUAGUGACUUGUUAUUAAGGACAGCAUAUAUAAUGUAAAAGGGCUUUCUAUUUUAGAGUCUGUAUAGUUUUUUUUAAAAAAAAUUGGCCUCUGCCACUUCUAGGCAGCCAACUAUUUUGUGCCAAAUCCAGUUCCUACUGCUUGCAAAAGCAAUCUUUCCUUCCCAGGCCCUGAAAAAAGGGGGGGGGGGAAUCCAAAUUUGAUUGGAGUGUGCUUUGUCUGAUCAUGAAGAAAACUCCAAGGCCAAAGCAAGUUUUAAAUUAUUGAAUUUUAAUACUGUUGCAACUGUUCUAUUUUCCCUUAAGAACCUAGGCUACCAAGUUAUAGAACCCUGAUUUGCUGUGACUUUGCUUUUAACAUUUUCUUUUUCUGUACUUACCUUCUCUUGGUGUCAGAAAUAGAAGCAAAAAAUCUUGAUGCAUGAUUCUCUCUAGCUUUGCAUCUCACAAAACCAACAGCUAUGUCUCUCUGGAGACAUGCAGAGUAAGUAUCAGGACUAUAGAGCUCCAGGCUGCUGCCAAAGUGAGUCUGAAUUUGGAAAGAUGUCAGGGGUGCCAGCUUGCAUAUGUGCCUGGGAGGGAUACCGAAAGGCGAGAGCUGCAAUUUUAGCUGACUGUUUUAAAAAAGGAAAAGCCAGGUGCCUGACAGAUAAAGUUCAUGCAACCCAUUCUUAUUAUUGUUCGUUGCUAUUGUUGAAGUAUCUGGGUGCUCAGGUCAAAAUCAGAGCUCUAUUGUGUGCUGCUUCACAAAUGUUCUAUUUCAUGGUUAUAAGAUGCUUCUUGGUAAUUUACAGGUUAAUCUUUAAUAACUGCGUGCACUCUUCCUUUUCAGUGAUCUUUGGCCCACUCCACAUGGCCAGAGCAGUUUUAGGGGCAGCUUAUUUUAGAGUUGUUUUUAAUAAGCUUUUGAAGAAAUUAAAUGGAACUACUUCGCCCCGGUGGAGAAGUGCGUUAAAGUACUGAGCUGGAGACCGAAAGGUCCCAGGUUCAAACUCUGUGAGCGGUGUGAGCGGCUGCUGUUAGCUCCAGCUCCUGCCAACCUAGCAGAUCGAAAACAUGCCAAUGUGAGUAGAUCAAUAGGUCUCCGGCGGGAAGGUAAUGGCGCUCCAUGCCGGCCACGUGACCUUGGAGGUGUCUACGGACAACGCCGGCUCUUCGGCUUAGAAAUGGAGAUGAGCACCAACCCCCAGAGUCAGACAUGACUGGACUUAAUGUUAGGGGAAACCUUUACCUUUACUUACUUCUUACUAUACAUAUAAAAUAUGGGGAUGGGGCAGAGUAGGGAUAGUAGUGUAAGUCCUCUUUAUCAGAGGCUUUCUUAGGAGUGAAAUUCACUAUGCUAAGGGAUGCUUAUAAUGUGAUUUAGUUAAUUUAACCAAUCCAGUGAUGUUUGAGGGAAGAGACUGAAAUUAAGAAGUGGAAUUAGAAUUAACUGGAUUUUCCUGGGCGAAAAGAAGAAGGAGGAGUUUUUAAUUCUACUCCAUACUGUUACUCAGUAAUCAUGCUAUUGAAGUUGAGUUUGGGCUGCUUUCAGAAUAAAUUAAAGAUAAAUUGUUCAUAUUGCACUCUGCAAGUAAUUGUCUUUACACAGCUAAAGUUUGGAAUGUAUGUUUUUAAGGAUAAUUGUCAGCAUCUGCUGUAUGAGCCCCUCCCCUCCUCACACACAUUUUUUGGUCAUAUCUCUAUAAUAAGUGAUAUGGAUAAGGCAUAUAAAACCUGCACAUUUAAAGCUUGCUGGCCCACUAUCUUGUGAAGAAUAAACACACAUCAUUACAGGAAACACUCUGACAAUUUUUGGUGACAUGUGAGCGUAGUCCUGCCAGAUUUUCAAAAUUGCGAUACGGGAUAAUUGAAAUUCAUAAUGUUUGGGGCUGAUAAUCAGGCAGCAGCUAUUAUAAGCUUGCAUUCCACUGAAAUAGUAAAUCAAAGUAUUUGGGUUAACUUUGCCAUGUAUUUCUCUUUACAGUUAACAUAUUGGCCCCAUUCAUAAAUUACUGUAUAUACUAUAAAUGCAUGCAUAAGACAAGGACAGGUUUCAGGGCCAAAAUUAUGGAUUUUGAUAUGACCCAUGAAUAAAUGGAAAAAGAAAAGUACCAGUAUCACCUAAGCAGGCUAGCUAUCUAUGGCCACCGUUGCCAUUUCCCCUCAGAGGCAUUUUUGUCGCUGUAAAGGAGAUGGAGAUGGUUCCCUUUUUUGAAAUAAGAUACGUUAAUUUAAAAAAAAAACCCUCCCUCUCUUGAGCAGAGUGAUGAAAGGCAAGGGCUUAGUCCAUACUAAGAGAUCUUAAAGGAACAACUGAUCCCCACUACUCUCUGGACACCCCUUUGAGGAGAAGUGCCAAAGUUGCUCCUGCCACUACCAUUUUCCCAUCCAGACAUUCAAAAAGAUAUUCAUUUUUAUAUGAGUGCUUCCAGUGAUUGUGUAACACAUAAAGUGACCCUUCUUGCUUUAGCUCCAAAAAGUUAUAAAGAAAGAGCAAGAUCAAAUUACCACAAAGUGCCAUGGAGGCUCAAAAUAUUAACUCAAUCUACAACUCCCCAUGAUACCAUAGCAUUGCGCGAUGGCAGUCAAAUUGUAUUAAUUCUACACUCUAUGCACUCUAUUUUGGGGACCAUGGGAGGACCCGUGCUUGUCCAAUAAUGAUACAUGUUAGAGAGCUACAGCCCUGGUGUAAUUUGUGAACAGUUUCUGGUUAACAUUCAAACAUUCAAGGUCUCUAGCAGGUUUUCAAAGUUAAUGAAUCUUAUCCUGAAACUGAUUAUAUACAGAUGAUAACAACAACAACAACAACAAUAAUAACAACUUUAAUUUUAUACCCUGCCUCCAUCUCCCCGCAGGGAGUCAGGGUGGCUAACAUGGGGCCAAGCCUAGACUUCCACAAUAACAAAAUAAAAAUACAUUCACAACAAAAACACCAUUAACAUUUAACAUCACACAGGUCAACAUUUAACAACAAUAUAAUGGUAAGUAAAACAGCCAGAUAAAAAUGCAACAGGUUAAAAAAGGCUGGGCAGUGGUGCAAAAAGUGCAUGAUUAGAAUCUAAAGAAGUAGAUAAAAAUGCUGUAGUAAAAAGGAGAAUUCAAGGUGGAAUAAAAGAGGAAAGUAAAUGAGGAAAUAAGCUUGUGUCCCAUCUGUACAAGUGGCUAUUUUACCACAGUCUCCUAUUUGGCUGCUUAAAUGCAAACUUGAAUAAUAUGCAACAUACAGAGCUACUUAGGCAGGAAGAUGAAAUAUUAUGAAUAUCAGUUAUGUCAGUUUUCACACAGAGUAGGCAACUUUGGUGGGUGCAUGGGUCAGUUUUGUACCCUAGGAUUAGGGCAGCAUCAAAUGAUAUGGUCCAGAUCCUUCUGAUAACAUGAAGGGUGUCCCAUAGAAGAUGGAGCAAGCUGCUUCAAAAACUAGAAUAAGAACCAUUGGAUUCAAAUUACCAAAAGUUAAUCCAUCUGAAUAUUAAGAAAGUUUUAAAGUUUUAAAUUUCCUGACUCUUAGACCUGAUGUGUUUGUGCAGGACUGGGUCCCUCUUCUUGUGAACUGGUCAUUGACCAUAAUAAAGUGAACUUGAAACUAUUAAGAAGAACUUUUUAAAUGGUAAGAGCUGUUCGACAAUAAAAUAAACAGCUUUAGAGGUUGGUAUGCUCUCCUUUGGGGGAUGUCUUUAAAUUAAGGCUGGAUGGCAAUCUCUUGGUUAUUCCUACAUGGUAGGAGGUUGAACGGGUUGCCCCUUGUGGUCCUUUCCAACUCAAUGAUUCUAUGAACUGCUAAAUGACCAACUUCCCCCCCCCCCAAAAAAAACACAACAAAAACAAAACAAAAGUAAAAAUGCUUGUAAGUCUACUUUUGGCUUUGAAAAAUGAUAUUUUCUAUGUUAAUCAGUAAAGUUAAACAAAAUUCCCAAAUGAGCAAUACUGGCCCACCAAAAAUACAGAAACUAUGUAAGAAAAGUGAUUAUGUUAAGCAGUGUUUGUGUGGGGGAGGACAUGUGGCCUGGUUAAAAUGUGAGCUCCUCUUCCCAAAGCAAUCAAGAUAGUCACUUCUUUCUUUUGUGCCAGAAAAUGUGCAGUCUGGGUAAUCUGAGUGCAUUGGAGGCUGCUUAUAGCUCUAGGGUCACACAUUAAGUUUAAUCUGAAAUUGGUUUUCAAAAACACUCUUCAUUAAUUGACUCGAAGUGUUGAUUAUAUCUAAUCAGUCUUUAUUCCCUUACCUAUAUUGACUUCAGCAAUAGCUUGUUAGGCCAUGACCCUAUAAGAGGGAAAUGACUUCUUGGCUCCCAUACUCAUGCCCUCUGUGACCAAGGUGGGUUAGAUGAUGGACAUGAACAGAGCCUUUCUUGCUUGAUUAGGAGCAAAAGGUCUUGGGUGACAGGCUCCUGUUCCACACUGAUACCAUUUGGGACACAGCGACCUCCUGGCAACCUCAGUUAUACAUUAAAAAGAAAAGGAUUCAGAGGAGAGAGACAGACAGAUCACGACAGGCUGCAAUUAUUCUUUGAGUGGUUGUAAUGAAUUUCUUCUGCUUCAAGCUUAAGCAUGAAACGUGAGCUUGAUCCUUUUUGUUGCUUGAUGAGGUAAUGGAAACAAUCACACUUGCAUUUUUCUUCUCUUAUUUCAGUAGCCAUUUGUCACAUAGCAAUGUCAUACAAAGCCAACAUGCAAUAACACAUGAUACUCACCAUUCGAGGGAUGCAAGGGAAAGACUGAUUAUUACAGUCUAUCUGUUACCAGGCCUGUGUGCAAUCUUUGGUUAGGAUUUUUUAAAAGAGAAAAAUACAUAAUGAUGCUGUUGGAAAUAAGUUUAAAAGGAUAUGCAUCUAAUUUUCAAAUCCAUUUGAACAUGGCAUUCUUCCAGAAAAAUCCAAGGUAUAGUACAUAUUGCCCUCUAAGCAAAUACUUAUUGCAUUUAUAUUUGAGAGAUUUUACUUCCAGAGGGAAUAGAACAAAAUGGUACCCCAACCUAUAUACAAAAAUCAAUAGGAUUGGCAGGCAGAUCUUUCUGAUGAGACCACAUCUUGCAUAAUCAUCCAGCCAACUUAACACAGUACAAUGUCCUCCUGCAUUUUCACAGCUUCAAGUGCCUGGAGUUACUGUCCUACUUUGUCUAAAAGUAGGCUGUUAUUAUUAUGUGCAUUCAAGUUGGCUUAUGACAACCCUGUCCUAGGGUUUUCUUAACAAAAUUUAUUUAGGGGAAGUUUACCAACUUCUAUCUAAAGUAAACUUCUUCUAUCUAAAGCUGGCAACUACCACCACAUUCUUUUCUUCUGAAUGUAUAACUACCAGAGGACUUUUGCAUCGGCUGCCCCACAAUUGUGGAACGACCUGCCAGAAGAACUCCCGACAGCUAAAUGAGCUGUCAGAAUUUAAAAACCAUGUAAAGACCUAUCUCUUCCUGCAGGCCUACCCAGACAGUCUUUAAAUAUGAAUUUUAAGUGCCCUUUGUGUGAUCUCUGUUUUAUAUGUUUUAGCAUGUAUUUUGUAUAUGUUUUAUGUGUAACUUUUAUGGAGAUACGUUUUAGUGUGUGUAUUUGCAGUGUUUCUGCUGAGCUUAUGUAUUUUAAUUGUUUUGUAUCCCACCCCUAGCCAUGAGGAGAGGCGGGUAAGAAAUAAAAUAAUUAUAAUAAGAAUUGUUAAAGCUAAGAAAGUAGGUCUUGUCCAAGGUCACCAGUGGUUUUCUGUGACUGAACCUUAACCUCUCAAAGUCUUUUGAACCUGUGGGCUUUAAAAAACCAGAUUGAAAACAGAUUUUGCAUCCGCAGAAUCUCUCCUUCACAUGUGCACAAACCAACCAACCCACAAUAGUGGAACUGUAUUAUCGUUUUGUAGAAUUUGAUGGGUGAUCCACAGUGGGAUUAGUUUUGGCAUCCUGGAUAGUGUUGUUCACACUUAUCCUGUGGGAAGGUUUAAGUCUUCAAGUCCACCUAAUGAUGAUGUAGUGCUAAUUUAAAUUCUUACUGUUCCAGCCAACAAUUUUAUCUGGUAAUUCUUUGCUUUGCUUUACUUUUGGCACAUUGUCAGGUUCUUAUCCUGUCUCCAGGGCUUUUGUUGUAGGCUUUCCAGAUGUUAUUCUUAUUAUACCAAGCUAAUAGUUUCACCAUAUAGAUUGUUAGUAGCUGGAAAAUGCAUAUAAUUGAAAUGAGUCAGAUGCUAUCAUAUGGCAAGACAAAAGAUCAGCCCUCUUUUCCAGCUGAAGCACAAUCAGGAGGCUAAGGAAAGGAUGGUGUGUUCUACCCCAUCCAGGAGAAACUAUGUCAGGGGUAUGAAUUUUAUUCUAAUACUUGCUUGGGUACCCGGCAAUGCCCAGGUUAUUUGGGUCAGCCCUCUCAAAACUCCCCCAGUAUGCACAGUUGGCUGUCUUGGGUCUGUGUGCCAAAUUUGGUCCAGAUCCAUCACUUCCUGGGUUCAGUGUUCUCUGGAUAAGGGUGAGCUACAACUCCCAGAUUCCCAGGGCAAUCACCCUGAAACUGUGCCAGUAUUCACAGUUGCCUACAGUUGGUGAAGGGGCCCUCCAGGGCCAGACAGAAGGCCAGGAACAGCAGCAUGGUCUUUCCCUCGCCUGCAGGGGCUGCAGAACAGCAGGCAGGUGGGGGAGGGAUGACAUGUGUCAUUUUCAAGACUGUUCUCACCCUAAGAUUCCUCCCCAUUGCCUUGCAGCGGGCCUACUUGCAACUUUGCCCCUCCAUCCUUCCAGGUGCUUUGGACUCCGACAAUUCCUAACAGCCUAUCUAUAAAAGUCCAAUGAGUGUUAUCAAAUGCCUUCUUUGCAUCCAAGAACAUCAACACUCUUUGCUGGUCUUCUGACCAUAUAUGGGCAUCUGGACCAUGCAGGGGCAUUUUGACCAUAUUUGGGCAUCUUGAUCAUUCAUGGGCAUCUUGACCAUGCAUGGCCAUAUAUGGACAUUAUGAAAAUAUAUUGGCAUUAUGACCAUAUAUGGGCAUUUUGACCAAAAACAAUCAAUGCCCUUUUCAAAUGUGAGUGAAUUACAAUUCCCAAAAUCUUAGGCCUGUGUACCAAGUUUGGUUCAGAUCCUUCAUUGGUGGGGUUCAGAAGGCUCAUGGAAUACAGGUGAACUAUAACUCCCAGAGAUAAAGAUCAAUAACUACUGCAAAAACUACUGCCAAACAGGCCUACUGCUUGAUCCUGCUGCCUUGGCCCUGCUGCCAGAACAGAGAAUCUGUCCCGGGUUGCGGCGUGUCCAUCUUGUUGGUUUGGUUUUACAAACGACGCCAUUCCCCGGCCGAGCGCCACUGUGUGGGACCUCUUCUAGUUUAUUAUCAUAAACUGUGUGACGCUGCUAUAGCCACUGGCACCUUAGAACUGUGAACCCUUACUGCUUCUUGAGCUUUUUGUUAGUUUCCUAUCCCCAGGAGUUGAGAGUAACCUUGAACUGGACCCCACACAUUGUUUACUUUGGCUAUAGAUUAAGGAAGGGGGGGAUGGGAGUCCACUGGCGGGGGGGCCCCCAUCGAAGUAAUUCAGGGGAGGGGGAGAUACGGGAAAGGGAGGCCAAAAUUAAUUCGGGCUAGGGAGAGAACAAGAUUUCUCGUAGAUCUAAAACGGCCUCCUGAUAUGGUAAAUUUGGAUACCCAGGCUAGUGGUUCCUCCGGACUAAAGGUGGUGCUGCUGAACGCCAGGUCUACAAACGGAAAAACUGCAAUUAUCCAAGAUCUUAUCUUGGAGGAGCAAGCAGACCUGGCGUGCAUAACUGAGACCUGGUUGGAUGAGGUGGGUGGGGUCAAUCUCACCCAACUCUGUCCUCCCGGGUACUCCGUGCAGCACCAAGCAAGAUCCGGAGGACGGGGAGGCGGUGUUGCAGUGGUCUACAAGGAUUCCAUCCCUCUGACCAGGUGCCCCAUCCCGCAGUCAACCUUGUUCGAAUGUGUCCAUCUGAGGGUGGGUGACCGGGACAGAUUAGGGAUUCUGUUAGUGUACCAACCACCCCGCUGCACUACAGUCUCCCUGCCUGAGCUAGCGGGGGUGGUCUCAGGCCUGGCAUUGGAGUCUCAGUGGCUUUUGGUGCUGGGGGACUUCAAUGUCCAUGCCGAGACCAUCCUGUCUGGUGCAGCUCAGGACUUCAUGGCCACCAUGGCAACCAUGGGGCUGUCCCAAUUGGUAUCUGGUCCCACCCACAGAGCGGGACACACAUUAGACUUGGUUUUCUGCCAGGGAUGGGAGGAAGGUGGCGGUGUGGAGGAGCUUACCAUCGCCCCUUUGCCAUGGACCGACCAUCACCUGAUCAGGUUUAGGCUGACUGUGCCACCUAACCUCCGCAGGGGUGGAGGACCUAUUAAAAUGGUCCGCCCCAGGAGGCUUAUGGAUCCAGAUGGAUUCCUGAUGGCUCUUGGGGAGUUUCCCGCUGCCUCGGUUGGUGAUCCUGUCGAUGCUGUGGUCUCUCUCUGGAAUGGGGAGGUGGCCAGGGCAAUAGACAUUAUCGCUCCGGAACGUCCCCUCUCGAGUACACGAGGUAAACCAUCUCCUUGGUUCACCGAGGAGUUGGCAGCGAUGAAGCGAAAGAAGAUGGAACUAGAGUGUGUGUGGCGUUCGAAGCAGAACGAAUCAGACCAAACACGGCUGUGUUCCUACCUAAGGACAUAUGCCACGGCAAUAGAUGCUGCAAAGAAUGCUUUCUUCGCAGCUAAUAUUGCGUCUGCAAAAAACCGUCCGGCGGAGCUGUUUCGAGUUGUCAGAGGUUUGUUAAAUCCCAUCUCUCAAGAUGGGAUCCCUGACAUCUCGGCAGCCCGCUGUGAAGCAUUUGCUCGGUUUUUUGCGGACAAAGUUGCUCUGAUCCGUUCUGGCUUUGACACCAUAUUAACGGCAGUCUCCGGGGAUGUAACACGAGCAUCUUCUUGUCCCAUUUUGAUGGAUUCAUUUCAGUUGGUUGAGCUCGAGGAUGUGGACAAGGUGCUUGGAGAGGCGAGGGCUACCACAUGCAUCCUAGACCCCUGCCCAUCCUGGCUGGUGAGAGAAGCCAGAGGGGGAUUGGCCGAGUGGGUGAAGGCGGUGGUGAAUGCCUCCCUUCGGGAUGGCAUAUUUCCAGCGAGCCUUAAAUUGGCUGUGAUCAAACCGCUGUUGAAGAAGCCAUCACUGGACCCCACUCAACUGGAGAACUAUCGGCCUAUUUCCAAUCUUCCCUUUCUGGGCAAGGUCGUGGAACGUGUGGUGGCCGCGCAACUCCAGGCAUUCUUGGUUGACACUGAUUUUCUAGAUCUGGCACAGUCUGGUUUCAGGCCGGGGCAUGGUACCGAGACAGCCUUGGUCGCCUUAGUCGAUGAUCUACGCCGCGAGCUGGACGGGGGAGUGUGUCCCUGCUGGUUCUGCUGGACCUCACAGCGGCCUUCGAUACCGUUGAUCACGGUAUCCUUCUGGGGCGCCGUGCCGGGAUGGGGCUCGGAGGUACUGUUCUGCAGUGGCUCCGGUCCUUCCUGGAGGGUCGAUCCCAGAUGGUGUCAUUGGUGGACACCUGCUCGGCCCCACAACCAUUGACUUGUGGGGUCCCGCAGGGUUCAAUACUGUCCCCUAUGUUGUUCAACAUAUACAUGAAGCCGUUGGGAGAGAUCAUCCGGAGUUUCGGGAUGAGGUGUCAUCUGUACGCAGAUGAUGUCCAGCUCUGUCACUCCUUCCCACCUGUCACUAAGGAGGCUGUUCAGGUCCUCAACCGGUGUCUGGCCACUGUGUCGGACUGGAUGAGGGCUAACAAAUUGAAAUUGAAUCCAGACAAGACAGAGGUCCUCCUGGUCAGUCGUAAGGCUGAACAGGGUAUAGGGUUACAGCCUGUGUUGGACGGGGUCGCACUCCCCCUGAAGACACAGGUUUGCAGUCUGGGGGUUCUCCUGGACUCAUCGCUGAGCCUGGAACCCCAGGUCUCGGCAGUGGCCAGGAGAGCCUUCGCACAACUCAGACUUGUGCGCCAGCUGCGCCCGUACCUUGGGAAGUCUGACUUGGCCACGGUGGUCCAUGCUCUGGUCACAUCCCGGCUGGAUUACUGCAACGCACUCUACGUGGGGCUGCCUUUGAAGACGGCCCGGAAGCUCCAAUUAGUACAAUGGGCGGCAGCCAGAUUGUAAACUGGGGUGGCUUACAGGGAGCAUACUACUCCCUUGUUAAACCAGCUCCACUGGUUGCCGAUAUGCUACCGAGCCCAAUUCAAAGUGCUGGUCUUGGCCUACAAAGCUCUAAACGGUUCUGGUCCAAUUUACCUGUCCAAACGUAUCUUCCCCUAUGAGCCCACAAGAACCGUAAGAUCUUCUGGAGAGGCCUUGCUCUCAGUACCACCCGCCUCACAGGCACGGCUGGUGGGGACGAGAGACAGGGCCUUCUGGGUGGUGGCUCCCCAGCUGUGGAACUCCCUCCCCAGUGACAUUCGGCAGGCCCCAUCCCUUUUGGGGUUCAGAAAAAAACUGAAGACCUGGCUAUGUAUGCAGGCAUUUGAAGAAUAAGCAUGUGUUGGCUUCGACGCGGUCUGAAUUACGGCCCUUGUAUAAGGUCUGGUGGAUGAAUGGCAUAAGCACUUUGCAUUGUUUUAAACUUGUAUAUUGUAUUUUAUGACUAUUUUAUGACUGUUUUAACUGUUUUAAUUGUUUUAGUUUAUUGUAUAUCAGUGUAAUGGCAUCUAUUGCCACUUGUAAGCCGCCCUGAGUCCCCUCGGGUGAGAAGGGCGGGGUAUAAAUAAUUGAAAUAAAUAAAUAAAUAAAUAACCUCCAAAGUCCACCAGUAUUCCCAGUUGGCCAUGUUGAAUUUGUGUGCCAAGUUUGGUCCAGAUCAGUCAUCAGAUGGGUUCAGUGUUCUCUGAAUACUCCUGGAUAUCAAAGUCAAUCGCCCAAACCCUGCCAGUAUGAAAGUUGGCCAUGUUGGGUUUGUGUGCCAGGUUAGUUCUAGGUCCAUUGUUGUUGUGGUUCAGAGUGCAGGUGAACUAUCCAUCCCAGUCCCUACAACCCCUUUAAAUCAUAAUCAAUUCUCCCCAAACCUCUCCAGUAUGUUCAGUUGCUGAUCAAUUCCUCUGUUUGCUCUGUGCCAUAGGAAAGGGUAGGGAAGGGUUAAGGGAGAGGCAGUGGGCGGGGUCAUGGGGUGUACUCGUUGUAACCUGCAAUGUCCUGAGAGGGUGACUUGCUGGCUCCACAGCACUGGGAACUAUAGCCUGUUUGUGGAAGCCAGAGGCUGUCUGUGUGAGCGGACACCCAUACCACAUGCACACAUACAGAUUUUCACUGUUAUUAUGUGUAUAGAUUUGUAAGGUGACCGUAUCUACCACCACACCUGAGGCAAAAGGGAAUGUUACAAGGAGCAGUGAGUGCUGUGAAGUGUGCAGAGCUCUUCCCUCCAAUGGAAGAAAAUGGCUGGUUGGAUUCAGGAGAGAUGGUUAUGUAGGAACUUCCCUUGCACUUAUAUACAUGCCAUCUCCGAGUUGCAAACAUCUGACUUACAAAUGACUCAUAGUUAAGUAUGGGGGUGAGACAACAGGAAGUGAGAGAAUCUACCCCUUGGAAAAGAAAUUAUCUCCCGGAAGAGUUAUUAUGUGGAAAAGGUGUCUCCAUUGAAACUUUAUCACCAAUCCUUGUUUCCACAAGAAGCCUUUUUUCUUCUUCUCAAAAUCCAAUUAUCACAGGGACAGAAAGUGCAGUGAAAUCUUCUGAAGAGACAAAGCAGAAACCACAGGAGUGUUAACCUUUCACUAUGCUAUCCAAAGCAUAUCUAUCUAUCUAUCUAUCUAUCUAUCUAUCUAGCUGGAGUCACCCUUAAAAGGUACCUGUUCUCACUUAGAUACACAUUUAAAUUAAGAAUGAGCUUACAGAACCUAUUUUGUUCAUAACUUGGUGACUGCCUCUAUCUUAAAUAACUGCCUGGUAGGAAAACAUUACAGCUAAUACAUCUUCUUACUAUAUAGGGCCUUUGCCAGAAAAAAAUGGCACAUCAACUAUUUGAAUGUGACAACUUCAUUAUUUGAUGGUUAAUAGAAAUGUAAUUUGGUGGUUGAAGAGUUUGUAAAAUUAGUGAGAGCUGCUUGUUCUCUUCUUAACCUUUGUGAUAUUGCAUUAUUUUAUAGGAGACUAACUGGUUCAGUUCAAAAGUAAUUCCCUGUUAGUUCAAUAAAGCUUAUUCCAAGGUAAAUGGGGGGAAUGGCAGCCAUAUUAUAUCUGGGAGCAAUCUGGUCCAUUAAAAUUAGCAUCAAGCUAAUGUGAAAGUUCAAAGGUCAGGACCUGCUUUGCAUUUCAAUAUUUUAUCAUUCUCAGUAUCUUAGACGUGUCUUACAAUAAAUGUGAUUUUGAACCAAUAAAAUUACUGUCUAAAAGUCUCAUAAUAUCAUAAUAUCAGGCGUGAGAUUGAUUUAUGUAUCUUGAAGCAUGUCUGGUGUCUCUUAUCAAAACACUGAUGGGUGAACACAAGUUGCAAUGAGUGAAAAUUAGACCAAUGGGAAACAGAACAGAAUAAGAAUAGUAUCUUCUUAUUAACCUAAGCAAACUAAUUUUUUUUGCUUUUAAAUAGCAUUAGGAUAUUGCAGUAUAGAACAAAAUUGAUAUGGAUUAAAGAAAGCAUGAAUAGGUUUUGACAAGGCAACAGGUUGAUGUUGCCAUUUCUCACAGUAUCUCUAAUCUGCUACAAAGUGAAAUGAUACUAUAGAGAGCCAAAUAUUAUUCCCUUAAUAAAUGAUCAUAGCAUGAAACAGAGCAUUACAAUGCUUGGCACAUUAUAAUUGUGCCAAGCAUGUCCAUCAAGCGAAGCAUCAGUAAGGCAGCUUAAAAUAAUACAGCCCCCCCACCCCCCCCCCCACCCCGCAUCUCCAAGUGAAUAAUUAAGCCUGCUACAGGUGAAGUUGGAGCUUUUGCUCCUGUGAAUCAUUCUUAGGAACCUGGGGAAAAACCUCUCCAAACCUGGUUCUAUAAAGACAAAUAACUGUGAUACAAACCUUUAUAUUUUUCUGCGAGCCAGGGAAUGAAAUUCUUCUUUUGAAAUCAAAAUCCAGAUCUCCUUGAUCAAUGAGAGCUCUUGUUCCUACAUUAGUGAGUGGAUGCCUUCAAGGACUUCAGUGUCAUUCAGGAGCAAUAUAGAUUAAUGUAAAGCUAGACAUACUUCUUCUUACUCUGUCCUUCCAUUUGUACUGUUGUUGCUGUUGUGUCUUCAAAUCUAUGAUAUGUGCCUUCAAAUCCACUCCAAAUUAUGGCAAGCUUUUUGGUGAGUUUUUUUCAGAGGAGGUUCGCUUCUCAAACCCCCACAUUGGCAUAUACAUGCACUAAUUUAUCUCUAAAUAUUUGUGCAUACAUGUCCAAUCAUAUCUACUCUGUCUGCAACAUUAAAGAUAGAUCAAGGUUGUGUCUUAGUGCCAUAAAUAAAAGGCUAUGUUAUCUUUCUGCUGCUGCUUUUCCCCUCAGUAUUUAUGACUCGAAAGACUAUGCUUCCUGUUGUCAGUGCAGUGUGCAAUGACCUUGGCUGACCUAGUUGACUGAGAAGAGGUUGUAGCAGUAAAGAAAUCUGACUCUACCUCUUUUUCUCCCAUGAGAGGAAUUUGUUUCAUUCACUUUAUAGAGCCUGCAUUUAUCUGCUGGUGCUUAAGCUUGAUAUUGUAUGUUCAGGGCAGUAUCCCUUGAGAAGAUUCUAUAUUUGCUUAUAGAAUGGGAAACAGGUAGGUUUAAAUGUUUAGACUGCUGGUGCCAUCAUGAAGAAUGAUGAAGGAUGGUUGGAGUUGAAGCCUAAAAACAUCUGGUGGGUUACCUGUUCCUCAUCUUUGUUUUAGGGAACGGAGGAACAAAUGUUGUUCACAAAAAUGAAGGAAUAUGCAGUAAGCAUAUUUCAUACAUAUAACAUCUUGAAACAAGUUGGUGGCUUUUGUGGAAACAUAUUAAGAGACAGGAUUACAUUAAUGUGAGAAGAUUACAAAAAAAAAUGAUACAGGAAAAUCAUCAUGUACAGAUCUGGUUGUACUUUCAUAGAUUAAUAGUUUCAUUUUAGCUCCAUCUAUACUGUAAACAUAAACCAUUUCAUAAAUCAGGGCAGCAACUUACAGCAAUCAGUUUUUGACAUGAGGCAUUUUAAAAUUAAUUAAUUACUGGUAUAUUUUUUCCUGCCAAGGAAGGAGAGAAGUAUUUGUGGCAUUUUCUGAAUCAUAGCCAAAGUAAACUGGAUUGAUAUUGGAUAGUGGGUGCUUGCUUUAUCUUGGGCAGAAAACAUGUUUUGUGCCAAUUUAAGAGUGCCAGGAAAAAGGCUUGUCGUCUCAUCCUGCAUUUGGGCAGUGAUGCUCUAUGGCAAAUUAAGGCACUGGUGAGUUAAAGGAGGAUUUAGUCAUCAUCAGGCCCUGAUGUGUUGUCAGAAUGGACCCAGAGUGGGCCCCUUCUAUUUUUGUGGUACUCAGAGGCUGCAACAAAGAUUUUCUUGUAGAGAGAAAUUGGUUUCAGAAAUUGCCAUUGACACAGAAUAGGGACGGGGACAGGAUGCCUGAUAGUGUGGCACACAUUACAUAUAUCUACAGAACAAGUAGAAUUCAUAUGAUUUUGCUGGAUUAGGUUUCAGACUCCUCAGAAUCUGCUACCUGGAUGUAAGGUUAUUCCUUGUGUUUAUUUCCCUCCCACCUAUUUGAUCAAAAACUGUGUGUACUGUGUAAGGGGAAUAGCUAAUUUAUGUCUAAUUUUUGACAGUCUGAAAGCAGCUAAUUUCUGUUCUGUUAGGUUUAUCAGAACACCAUUUUCUGGCAGAUGGAAAUAACCAAAGGCAAAUUCUCAUCCACAUUAAUAUGUCAUGGGAAUCUUUGAUCCCAGGUAUGGUUCCUGUGGCAUCGAAGAACUUGAUGGAAAAUCUCAAGGAUUGCCUGCCUGCUCAGUUGACACACAUUACUAUAUUACAAUGUAUGUUAGUAUGUAUGUUGAUAGUAUUUCAGGCAAGUGAAGUCUGGUAGAAACAAGUGCCUUUCAAUAGGAUAAAAAGGUUCUGAGUUCCUACACAGUUCAAAAUCAGUGAUGAAACCACAUGUUGCAGUGCUUUUUUAAAAAGAAACAGGGAAACAAAAAUAUUGCUUUCAGUCCAUUAAGUUUACCAUUUUAUUAAACGUCUUUUAUAUGUUUGCUUUUUUGGACUGCAUAAGAGAAACCACUUCCCAGUCCAUGAAUACUACAGCUAAAUUGUUCACUGGGUUUUGAUGGUGAAAAACUACCAAAAUAUAUUUGAAAGCAGAGAAUAAAUGUGAUUAUAGGUAUUGUGAUUAUAGGGUAAUACUGUCGAAAGAAUAAAAAAUGGGAGGUUCUUCUUAAAAUUGUAUCAGAUUCUGUAGGAUAUAUUAUAAAUAAAUAAAUAAAUAUUAUUAUAAAUAAAUGCAUAUAGCUGGAGUCAAAUUACUCAAUAGUCCUUGGUUUAAUUAUUAGUCAUUAGCUGCUGGGCUGCACUAGGUUUCCAGGAAUAAAGAAAUAAUCAUAGCCAAUGGGUACAAAUGUGAUACUGGUAAGUUAGAAUUAUGUCUAGGAGUUUGUAGCUGAUUUGAGUCUCCUUCAGUAGAGAUUAAGUGAAGUAUAAAUAAAUAUAAUAAAUAAUAAAUAGAGUAGUGGCAGGUCAUAAGAGGGACUAGUUUAGAUGGAUAAACACUCAGAUUUGUUACAAAGUAGUGCUUCUUAGGUGGUCUGACAUGGAAGGCAAGCAUUUUUCUCUGCAUGUGCUGAGAACAAUUACCACAUAUCUACAGCAUUGGCAGCUUCAUUCGAUGUGCUCAGUUAUGGGUAAAAAAAAAAAGGGGGCUAGAAGCAAAUCUCCAUCCUAGCUAACACAGCAGAGGUUUGCUACAAUUUCCAAGGGUUAAUUGAUUUGUUGCUUCAAAUUGCAGAUUCUUCUUCUACAUAUUUACUUAGGUUCCUGUGUACUUGGCAGCCAUAUUUUUGAAGCAAAGAUUCUACAUAAUCUUCAAGAGCAGCUCCACAUAAAGCGCACUUUCAUUUAAAUGUGUGAAGAGUGGUUCCUAAAUGUCGCUGGUGAACACCAGAUCUUUUAGGAAGAGUGUAAUCCUCCUAUCUAAAAAUGCAAUAUUCCCCCACUCUAUGGCCCUAUAUUUACAAACCUUAACAGUGAUGUUCUGUCAGGAUUACACCUUAAUUUGUUAAAACAGAGGUGGCCAAGGCAAAUUUUAUCAGGGAAAGCAGUCAUGGGUGAGCAAAGCCAGUCCACGCCAUACACAAUUUAGCAAGCUCUCUGAAAUUAAAAGAUGGCCCAAUAGCAAGAUCUCAAGCUGUGCUGAAAUCAGUGACAAGAAGCCAGUAGUUACAAUAAACAAAUGGAAAAGACCAAAAGACAUACAACUUCAGAGUUUAUAGAUCUAAAUAAAUCCAGGAGCACUGACAGCAUAUGCCAGGUAGACAAAUGGUUGCAUGCAAAAGAACUCUUUUAGUUCUUGGAAUAUUUAUAGAUGCUUGACCUUAAACUAUCUGGUGGUUAUUCCUCCACAUUUCUUAUUUAAGCUUCUGUAAAAAGUGUUUUUCUUGUAAGUAUGCUACAAGUGAUGGGAUCAUCAUCUCUUCAUGUCCAUCAGUUCCAGUUAUGGUGUGACCCCAAUUUACCAAGGAACUUUUCUAGCUGUAUCUUCUUCUAGCUGCCCAGGUUUUGGGAAGGAGGUGACACCUGGAGUCAGAAGCCUCUUUAGAUCUGACUCUUCUGAAUUGGAUUAUCCAGUGAGAAUUACAACAGAAUUUUCCACCAUAAUGGCACUGACUCUUCAAAGUGUUAGGUAGGAAUAGAAUUGGCUUAUAGUCCUUACUGGUCUUCUAUCUAAGUGCUAACCAUACCUGAUCUCAAUCACCAUCCAAAAUGAGUGUUUUCUUUGCAGUAUAGCAGUUUUCACAAGGGUGUCCUGGUAGCUCAGUAGAUUACCCAAUAUACCCGUAUCUAAGUCUAGAAAGUUUAGUCAAAAAAAUAAACCAUCAAACCUGGGUCGACUUAUACAUGGGUUAGUGUGAGUACAGGCAGGCAUAUCUGAUGAAUAAGAUUGGUUCUGUAGGUUUGUUCUCAAAUAAAUUCGUAAAUUGGAACAGGUACAUUUUUAAGUAUAACUCUAUCCAUAUAAAUCCUGUGGUGUUUGUUUUGCUGUCUGUGCCCCUGUUCAGAAGAUUUCACCUCACUUUCUGUGAUAAUUGCAUGUUUUAAAAUUUGGCUUGCUGUGGAAACAAGGAUCAGAGAGAUACUUUCAGUGGGGACACCUGUUCCCCAUAAUAACUCUUUCAGUGGUGAAUUUCCCUCCUGAGGGAAUUUCCCUUACUUUCUGUUGUCUCACCCCCGUUCUUAACUGGGAGUCAUUUAUUUGUAACUCGGGGACUGCCUGUAUUCUACUUUAACUCUUAUGAAAAAAAGGAACCAUCUCUUUCUCUGAGUAGGGUGGUGAAAGGCAAAAGUUUAUUUCACUGUGGGAGAAGCUAAAAGAAGCGCCAGUUCCCUCUGCUCUUUCUGCCGCAGUGCCACUUCUGGACUUUUUGAAUGCCCAGGUGAAGAAAUGGUGGUGGUGAUCAGGAACUGUAGCCCCCCUGAGGCUGCAUAGGUGCCUUCUCCUCUCUAUGGAAUUAACCUCGACUUAUCCACGUGUCAUAUCAAAAUGUCACCAAAAGUUUGCGUCCAAAACCUGCUCUCAACUUGACAUGAGGUCAAUUUAUAGAGGGGUAUGUAUGUCAUAUUUGUAUGUCUGAGAUUACUUCUUUUCUCCUUCAUUGGUCAUCUAGAUGCUGUUGUAUAUGUGACUAUAUGAAAAUACAAGUUGCAGACAUUUAUUUCUCUGCCCUAUUACAUGUAUCUGUCUCUUGAUUGAACCCAUUAUAUUCUACAAUUUGUAUGUUACACUCAUGGUGAUAAGAAAAAGAAAAACCCUGAGUUCUUUGCAUAAUGGCUAAAGUGUAAGAGCUAGAUUAAUCUCUUACAUAAUUGCCUCCGUAAGCACUUUGUUGAGUUCCUGAUAUUUGUAAUUAACUCUCUGCCGCUUGCUUUCUCCCAAGCCAUUUCAGACUGUUUCAUCCUUCAACUUCAGUUCUGUUGAUUCAGCUCUCCCUCUGCUGGUGGUAAAUGCUAUUGCUAUGCUAUGUUAUUUUUAUUCUUUAGUUUCACCACCAUAAUUAGAGUAAGCCUUUUUAUCCUGAAAGCUAUCAAGAAAAGAGCACAUUUCCUGAAAGAAGAAUCAGGAAAAUAAGAUUUUGAUGGCAAACAGAAGGUCAGCUGCCUGCCCUCCCAUCCUUUUUGCCUUUUUAUUUAUAUUGCACUUUGAAAUGGUCAUAUGACUGGUCUUAUAAAUAAAUAAAUUAUUAUUAUUAUUAUUAUUGUUGUUGUUAUUAUUAUUAUUAUUAUUAUUAUUAUUAUUAUUAUUAUUAUUAUUAUGCUUUGGUUUCACUAGUUGUGCUGAAUAGGUGAUAGAAAGCAAGCAAGAUGAUGUAUUGAAUCCAAUAUUUAAUCUGAUCAAUAGCUAGAUAAAUAUAAAUGAGACAUUCAUUUCUUAGAAUAAUAGGGUACAUUUUGAGAUAUAUGGAAAUUCUUGUGCCAAGAGUACAAUUGAAUGAAAACAAUAGACAGCUUCAGCUCUAUAUGGCAUUGAUCUCCCUCCAAUUUUAAUUUUCUAUUCUGCAAUAUAAAUAAGCCUCCAUUCUUUACCAUGGUCUGGUGAUUGCCUUGUUUUGUACCUUUUGCUAUAUCCUUAUGCUGUAAUGAGCCAAGAUAUGAAAGAACUUUGAAAUAACUAGAAUAAGGCUGAUAUUUUCCAAAAAAAGGAAUCCAGGAGUACCUAAGAAAUUCAAAUUUCAGGGAGUUUUGGGAAAUGCAUUUAUAAGUCAAAUUAUCAAGAAUGUGGAAUGUUGUGUAUUGCUGAAGAAGAAUCAACAUGAUUUCCACAAAUGUGUACUAAGGGGUUUUUAAAAGGGGUUUUUGAAAAAAAGUCAACAAGCCAGGCAUUACUGGCUAGACUACUGCAAUGUCUAGACUACUGCAACGCACUUCCGAAGACUGUUCGGAAGCUUCAGUUAAUCCAACGGGAGGCUGCCAGGUUAAUAACUGGAGCGGCGUACAGGGAGCGUACCACUCCUCUUUUACGCCAGCUCCACUGGCUGCCGAUUAGCUACCAAGCACAAUUCAAGGUGCUGGCUUUAGCCUAUAAAGCUCUAAACGGUUCCGGCCCAGCUUAUCUGUUCGAACGUGUCUCCCACUAUGACCCACCUCAAAGCUUAAGAUCAUCAGGUGAGGCCCUGCUCACGGUCCCGUCAGCCUCACAGGUGUGGCUGGAGGGGACGAGAGACCGGGCCUUUUCAGUAGUGGCUCCCCGCCUAUGGAAUGCCCUCUCCAGUGAAGUCAGGCAGGCUCCCUCCCUCCUAUCUUUCCGUAGGAAAGUCAAAACUUGGUUGUGGGGCCAGGCUUUUGAAUAACAAUUAGCAGCACUAAUUAUUUUUAUAUAUGCUGGAACUCAAUUGACAGACCCAGUUUUUAGACUCGGAACAUGCCCAUCUGUAUUUUAUAAGUGUUUUUAUGAAUGUCUGAUGUAAUUUAAUAACUUUUUAACUGAUUCACAAUGUAUUGUACAAUUUUAUAUACCGGUAUUAAAAUGUUUUUGAUGAAGUGUCUGAACAAAUUUUUUUGAAUAAACUUAGAAGACAUAGGAUAAUAGCCAAUGUGAUACAAUGAUUAGUUUUGUACUUCAGUCUGGGAGAUCCACGUCUAGACCCUAAUGAGCCGUGAAACUCAUAGGGGCUCUUGGGCUGUUUGCUUGCUGCCGGCCUGACUGCCUGCCUCACAGAGUUGCUGUGUGGAUAAAGUAAGAGGGAAACAAGCUAUGGACAGUUCCUUGGGCCCAUUGGAAGAAAGGUGGGAUAAUGGUGUAACAAAUAAAUAGGAAGAAAGGUUGUUGUAUUUCAAAAACAGAACACACACAACAGGAGUAAAUUAUUUCAUUUUUUUUUAAAAAAACUAUACAACCUUGCAUAAAAUAAUGAGUAGAUCACAGUACAACCUCCAAAGCCGCCCUGAGUCCCCUGUUGGGUGAGAAGGGCGGGAUAUAAAUGUUGUAAUAAAAUAAAUAAAUAAAUAAAUAUCUAUACAGGAUAAAUUCAUUUACUUUGUGUGGAUAUGUGAAAAUGAGGACAAUGGAAAACCCUAUUAAUGACAAUGGGAUAGAUGACAGAAGUACCAAGAAGAGGAUGUAGCUCAGGCAUGGGCAAACUUUGGCCCUUCAGGUGUCUUGGACUCCAACUCCUACAAUUCCUAAAAGCCUACCACUAUUAGGAAUUGUGGGAGUUGGAGUCCAAAACACCUGGAGGGCCAAAGUUUGCCCAUGCCUGAAGUAGCUUGUACAGGAAGCCCUAAGGGAAUAGGUAAAACUGAGUGAUGUUAACUAAUGUGACAACGUACAGAUGACAAAAAACAGAUGUGGCUAUUGAGCUGGCCAAAUUUUUCCCCUUAUAUUGUUCUGUAAAAAACCCCCCAAUAUAGAUAGCAUUAUAUUCAUAUUGCUAUGGCAUUUUUUCUUUUAAAGAAAAAAGACGGACAUGUCCUUCUAGUACAGCAGGAAUUAAGAUGCGUUUGUCAUUAUGUUAAUGCAGAAUUUGUCAUUUGAGAUUCAGUAUACAGGUAGCAAUCCGUCGGAGAUGCAUUGGUAUGAUCCUCUCUGUGUUGUGUGACGGGGAUAGGAUUAACUUACAACAGAUCACAUCACUAGUCUGUGUAAUGGGAUAUCUUUUAUCUGAUAGCAUCUGAAACCUAUGCUUUGCGAAUAAGGCACAAAAUCUUUUGUGAAUGCUUUUCAGCUUUGGGCAUCUCUAAAGAGUGGGUUUUGUAUUCACUGUGAGAAGAGAAGCCCGGAGACUGGGUUUCGGCAUCAGCAGCUGGGGCUCUUUUGAGAUCAGAUAGCAUGGUGUUUCCAUCAGAGGCCAGCAGGUGAUGCUGCUGCCUAUAAGAACAAAUGGAGUAGGGAUUGUGAUGGUGAUGGUGGGAAUACAGAUUUCCCAUUGGUACAUCAGACCACUGCUGGGUUGCUGAGGCAUCUGCCUCGCCUAGGCAGGGUGGCGCUGUGCAGAGAGCCCAGUGAUGGGAGUGCUCAGAAAGGGGUGGGGAGCAUUUUCAUUAUCUCACUAAUCUCCCCCUUGGUGACCUGCCAGCCUUUCCUGGAAGAGAAUGACAGAAGGGGAUUAUUUGAGACGGAAUCACCCAUCUCUCUAGGCAGCUGCAAGGGGAGGAGGGAGGGAUAGGAAUGAUUGGUGCUCUACUCAAAGGCCCUUAAUCCCCGUGAGCUGUCGCUCAGGCUAGAUGGCUUGCAGGCACCGCCAGAUUAACAAAUGUCCUGUCCUGUGGGGUUGGAGAGGCUGGUUUCUAUGGCUGAAGUAAGAUUUCUCACACUGCCUUUGGGAGAAAGGUUGCUGCAUGUUGGGAGCCCAAACAGGAUUUGUAAAUGGUGGUGCCACAGGAGCAAAGGAUAGGACACUACCUGGGAUUGUUCAACCUGCCUGCCUCCACGAGAUGGUCCAUACCCAGGAAUCGCUCAAGUGUAGUGUCAUAGGACCAUAGAGCUGGAAGAGACCACAAGGGCCAUCCAGUCCAACCCUGUGCCAUGCAAGAGUACACAACCAAGGGAAGCUCACAAGAAUGGCAGGGGAGAUAUGCUAUAGAAGUGCCUGGAGACCCUAGCAGGUUCCUAGAGAGAGCAUUUUUCUGUGGUUGCAGUUGGAUAAAGGGGACGUAAGCCAACUCAGCCUACCUUCCAAUACAAGCCAUGGUGACGCUGAUGGCAAUAUUUGCCUUGAUGUCCCAGAUGGCAAUCCAGAUCCACAGAGGAC